GAUGAACGCUAGCUACAGGCUUAACACAUGCAAGUCGAGGGGUAACGAGAGGAAAGCUUGCUUUCCUUGUCGACGACCGGCGCACGGGUGAGUAACGCGUAUCCAACCUGCCCCCAACUAGGGAAUAACCUUGCGAAAGUAAGACUAAUACCCUAUAAUUUCCUCAGAUGUCAUCUGACGAGGAAUAAAGAUUUAUCGGUUGUGGAUGGGGAUGCGUCUGAUUAGCUUGUUGGCGGGGUAACGGCCCACCAAGGCAACGAUCAGUAGGGGUUUUGAGAUGAAGGUCCCCCACAUUGGAACUGAGACACGCUCCAAACUCCUACGGGAGGCAGCAGUGAGGAAUAUUGGUCAAUGGGCGGAAGCCUGAACCAGCCAAGUAGCGUGCAGGAUGACGGCCCUAUGGGUUGUAAACUGCUUUUAUACAGGAAUAAAGUUAGCCACGUGUGGUUAUUUGUAGGUACUGUAUGAAUAAGGACCGGCUAAUUCCGUGCCAGCCGCCGCCGUAA
rnacentral:rRNA from 1 species